GCAACGCGCAGAACCUUACCAGCCCUUGACAUCCCGGUCGCGGUUUCCAGAAAUGGAAACCUUCAGUUCGGCUGGACCGGUGACAGGUGCUGCAUGGCUGUCGUCAGCUCGUGUCGUGAGAUGUUGGGUUAAGUCCCGCAACGAGCGCAACCCUCGCCCUUAGUUGCCAUCAUUCAGUUGGGCACUCUAAGGGGACUGCCGGUGAUAAGCCGAGAGGAAGGUGGGGAUGACGUCAAGUCCUCAUGGCCCUUACGGGCUGGGCUACACACGUGCUACAAUGGUGGUGACAGUGGGCAG
rnacentral:rRNA from 1 species